GUGCCUGCCCUCUAGCCUCUACUCUUCCAGUUGCGGCUUAUUGCAUCACAGUAAUUGCUGUACGAAGGUCAGAAUCGCUACCUAUUGUCCAAAGCAGUCGUAAGAAGAGGUCCCAAUCCCCCACUCUUUCCGCCCUAAUGGAGGUCUCCAGUUUCGGUAAAAGUUUCAUUUGAUCUGAAUAGUAUUAAAAUAAAAUACCUGGAUGAGGAAGAUGAAGAGGUCGCGGUCUUCGGAGCCUUCAGCCUCGUGAGCCCGAACAGUCCAUAGGGCGGCGCCAGACCCUCUUCCCAACGCCACCCUCUAAAGCCUCGGCUCCAACCGAUUCCACUUCUGCUUCAGGCUCAGGAUUUUCACUCUUCUCGAAUGGGGGUGGCCCUCCCCUGAUCUUCUGAAUCGCAACAGCAUCUCCCUCCCUCCAGGACAUCAGAGCCAGAGCUGGGCGAGAGGCCCUGACCUCUGGGGUAGGGUGGCAGCGUCCCCUUGAAGAUGCGGUCCCGCCUCCCAUCCCCAGGCGCCCGGCCUCUCACACCCUCAGCACCCUGCUCACCUCCAGCUGAAGAUGCCAGGGCACCUCUGCUUCCUCCCUGCUCUCUGCAGUACCGCAGAGUGAGCAUAAAAGGGCUUAAUACAGGCUUCGCCGGGCGCAGGGCUCCCGCCUGUAAUUCCAGUACUUUGGGAGACCAAGGCGGGAGGGUCACUUGAGAACAGGAGUUCAAAACCAGCCUGGGCAACAAAGUGAGGCCCGUCUCUAACAAAGACAAUGAGAAAUAAAUCUAAAAAUUGGAUAGACUGAAACAGGCAAUGAGGAAAGGAUUCCCUAUUUAAUAAAUGGCAUUGGGAAAACUGGCUAGCCAUAUGCAGAAAACUGAAACUGGACCCCUUCCUUACACCUUAUACAAAAAUUAACUCAAGGUGGAUUAAAAACUUAAACAUAAGAUCUAAAACCAUAAAAACCCUAAAAGAAAACCUAGGCAAUACCAUUCAGGACAUAGGCAGGGGCAAAGACUUCAUGACUAAAACACCAAAAGCAGUGGCAACAAAAGCCAAAAUUGACAAAUGGAAUCUAAUUAAACUAAAGAGCUUCUGCACAGCAAAAGAAACUACCAUCAGAGUGAACAGGCAACCACAGAAUGGGAGAAAAUUUUUACAAUCUACCCAUCUGACAAAGGGCUAAUAUCCAGAAUCUACAAAGAACUUAAACAAAUUUACAAUAAAAAAUCAAACAACCCCAUCAAAAAGUGGGCAAAGGAUAUGAGCAGACACUUCUCAAAAGAAGACAUUUAUGCAGCCAACAGACACAUGGAAAAAUGCUCAUCAUCACUGGCCAUCAGAGACAUGCAAAUCAAAACCACAAUGAGAUACCAUCUCACACCAGUUAGAAUGUCAGUCAUUAAAAAGGAAACAACAGGUGCUGGAGAGGAUGUGGAGAAAUAGGAACGCUUUUACGCCAUUGGUGGGACUGUAAACUAGUUCAACCAUUGUGGAAAACAGUGUGGUGAUUCCUCAAGGAUCUAGAACUAGAAAUACCAUUUGACCCAGCGAUCCCAUUACUGGGCAUAUAUCCAAAGGAUUAUAAAUCAUGCUGCUAUAAAGACAAAUGCACACGUAUGUUCAUUGCGGCACUAUUCACAAUAGCAAAGACUUGGAACCAACCCAAAUGUCCAUCAAUGAUAGACUGGAUUAAGAAAAUGUGGCACAUAUACACCAUAAUAUACUAUGCAGUCCUAAAAAAUGAUGAGUUCAUGUCCUUUGUAGGGACAUGGAUGAAGCUGGAAACCAUCAUUCUGAGCAAACUAUCGCAAGGACAGAAAACCAAACACCACAUGUUCUCAUAGGUGGGAACUGAACAAUGAGGACACUUGGACACAGGGUGGGGAACAUCACACACCAGAGCCUAUUGUGGGGUGGGGGGAGGGGGGAGGGAUAGCAUUAGGAGAUAUCCUUAAUGUAAAUGACGAGUUAACAGGUGCAGCACACCAACAUGACACGUGUAUACCUAUGUAACAAACCUGCACGUUGUGCACAUGUACCCUAGACCUUAAAGUAUAAUAAUAAUUAAAAAAAAAAAAAGAAUAAAAGAGGUCCCUUUUUCUGGGAGAUUGAUGUAGGGGAGCGAGCGUGUGAGUUGGAAGGGAGGCAUUGAGGAUCAGCCAUUUAAAGCAGCAUACAAGGAUGUUCAAGGCUCGAGAUCCACAGGUGUAUUUUCAGAACCUGAAUUUCCUGGCGGGGCACAGUGG
rnacentral:lncRNA from 1 species